CGCUGGCGGCAGGCCUAACACAUGCAAGUCGAACGGUAACAUUUCUAGCUUGCUAGAAGAUGACGAGUGGCGGACGGGUGAGUAAUGCUUGGGAACUUGCCUUUGCGAGGGGGAUAACAGUUGGAAACGACUGCUAAUACCGCAUAAUGUCUACGGACCAAACGGGGCUUCGGCUCCGGCGCAAAGAGAGGCCCAAGUGAGAUUAGCUAGUUGGUAAGGUAACGGCUUACCAAGGCGACGAUCUCUAGCUGUUCUGAGAGGAAGAUCAGCCACACUGGGACUGAGACACGGCCCAGACUCCUACGGGAGGCAGCAGUGGGGAAUAUUGCACAAUGGGGGAAACCCUGAUGCAGCCAUGCCGCGUGUGUGAAGAAGGCCUUCGGGUUGUAAAGCACUUUCAGUUGUGAGGAAAAGUUAGUAGUUAAUACCUGCUAGCCGUGACGUUAACAACAGAAGAAGCACCGGCUAACUCCGUGCCAGCAGCCGCGGUAAUACGGAGGGUGCGAGCGUUAAUCGGAAUUACUGGGCGUAAAGCGCACGCAGGCGGUUUGUUAAGCUAGAUGUGAAAGCCCCGGGCUCAACCUGGGAUGGUCAUUUAGAACUGGCAGACUAGAGUCUUGGAGAGGGGAGUGGAAUUCCAGGUGUAGCGGUGAAAUGCGUAGAUAUCUGGAGGAACAUCAGUGGCGAAGGCGACUCCCUGGCCAAAGACUGACGCUCAUGUGCGUAAGUGUGGUAGGAACG
rnacentral:rRNA from 2 species